CUUUGAGGAAGUCGGCAGAGAAGAUUCCUCCUUUCUUCAUGGCGCCGGUCUUCCUCAUGCUGAGUGUUACGGAGCGGCGAGGGUGACGGAAAUGAAACUCCCUGCAAAAAGUUCAGCGGCUUUAGACGCAACGCGUAAAACUCCACGGCAAUGUUGACUGGCCACUUCCUCCGGACCAACGAGCAGCUUGGUGUGUUCUGUUGCCGUGGAAACAUCACGUCGCUGUUUGCCGUGUUUGAGACUCACUUGGGGGGAAUGUUUUCCGGUCGACUGGACCAGUCAGCCACCCAGUCUGCGUCCUUCAUCAGGAUGUCCAUGUCCCUCUCCUUGUCCAAGCCGUCCUCUUCUGACUGAAGACACACACACACACAUUUAACAAAAUUCUUUCUUUAAAAAGACACAUUUUGUAUAUUUCUGUGUGUGUGUGUGUGUGUGAUGCACAUAGAGAUCAAGGACAGGAAGAGCGAGUGAAAAGGCAUCUCCAUGGAAACUAAAGGCAGACACCAGUUGUCGUUCUCAUGCACACAAACAAACGCACCACUUUAGGGACAGUGGGGUUGCCAUGACAACAGUGCUAGAGAACCAGAGGAGACACACAAGCUCUUACUAGGCUGUCUCUUCGGCCGCUCAGGUCCACGUCGAAGAUGAUCUGUCCGUCAUCCUGGGGGCUGUGUGGCCGAGGGGGGCUGUGGAAACAAAGUACAGCUAGUUAGGGACAAUAAAAAAAGUUUCCUGAAGAAGAGCACGCCGACUAAAUCCUCCACAACCACAAACACAGACUGGCAUGAACACAAGAACUCGGGACUUUCACUGAACUUUUACCUAGAGGGCGAAAUUCCUGAAGAAGAGAAGUAAGAACAGAAGUACAAGCACCUUUAUUUUGUUAGUUUCAGAGUAUAUAUUUUAAUUUUAUGGUUUAUUUCACUUAAAUACACUUUCCAAACAGUUUUUUUUCACUUCUUUCCAUUGUAAAAAUGACAUUUAAAUUGCUCAC